rnacentral:rRNA from 1 species
AUUGAACGCUGGCGGCAGGCCUAACACAUGCAAGUCGAGCGGAGCGGCGGACGGGUGAGUAAUGCCUAGGAAUCUGCCUGGUAGUGGGGGAUAACGUCCGGAAACGGUCGCUAAUCCCGCAUACUAUCAGAUGAGCCUAGGUCGGAUUGGCUAGUUGGUGGGGUAAAGGCCUACCAAGGCGACGAUCGGUAACUGGUCUGAGAGGAUGAUCAGUCACACUGGAACUGAGACACGGUCCAGAGUCCUAAGGGAGGCAGCAGUGGGGAAUAGUGGACAAGGGGCGAAAGCCUGAUGCAGCCAUGCAGGGGGUGUGAAGAAGGCCUUCGGAUUGUAAAGCACUGUAAGUGGGGAGGCGUUAGCAACAGAAGAAGCACCGGCUAACUUCGUGCCAGCAGCCGCGGUAAUUC